rnacentral:rRNA from 1 species
AGCAGCCGCGGUAACUCCAGCUCCAAUAGCGUAUAUUAAAGUUGUUGCAGUUAAAAAGCUCGUAGUUGAACUUUGGAGCUCGUUUGAGUGGGAUUGGCCUGGGGUCUUGAGGGCACUCUCUGCUUCACGGCAGGGGGAGGCGCUUGGGGCUAUCCCAAACCAGGUCGAUUUUCCCUUUACUCAAGGGCUUGAACCUUUUCCGAGGAACUGGGAUGCACUUAACUGUUGUGUCUCAGCGAGUCGGAACAUUUACCUUGAAAAAAUUAUAGUGCUCAAAGCAGGCUGGCUUACAGCUCGAAUAGAUUAGCAUGGGAUAAUAAAAUAGGACUUUUGGUUCUAUUUUGUUGGUUUCUAGAACCAGAGUAAUGAUGAAUAGGAACAGUUGGGGGCAUUCAUAUUCAAUCGCUAGAGGUGAAAUUCUCAAAUUGAUUGACGAUGAACUACUGCGAAAGCAUUUGCCAAGGAUGUUUCAUUGAUCAAGAACGAAGGUUAGGGGAUCGAAAACGAUCAGAUACCGUCGUAGUCUUAACCAUAAACUAUGCCGACUAGGGAUCGGAUGAUGUUAAUUUUAUAAUGACUCA